UUUAUUGAUAAAGGAAAAAUAACAGAAUAAAACAAAACAAAAUAGAGCUGGUCCAUUUCUGGACCCAAACAAAACAGAUAGAAACUCAAGGAACUGGAAAGACCACUCUUCAGCUCCUUCGUCUUCUUCACAAGCUCGAGCUAUGGUUCGGCGGCGAUCGGAAAGGGGCAGGCAGCUGUAACUCCAGAUCUUGUUCACCUCAUGGUCCAAGAGGAAGCUAGCUUGAGUAGAAGACAUUGGAGACACUCAAAAUUCUCACUAGCGCCAUGACUCUAACUCGUUGAAGACUCCUUCAGCAUAGCUUUAUAGGACCAAAAAGCUUUGUAACAACACAGGUAACUAGGAUCGCCAUCCAGCUUACCGUUGAUCAGUUGAGCACUUCUGAGUCUUGUGGUGAGCCUCCUUGCUUUCCAGAAGAUCCCUUUUAUUGUUUUCGCUAUUAUUAUCAGUUCAUUAGGAUGUCGUGGGGUUUGUCCCGAUAUUCAUCUCAGUUGUUUUAGAGGCUUCAUAGAUAGAUAGUCAGAUGUUAGUUCUUUAGUCUUUUCAUUGUAUUUAUCUUAUGUUGAGACUUGAGGUUGCCUUAAUGGCCAGUUGAAUGUUCCUUUAUAACAUUACGGUUUAUUA